rnacentral:rRNA from 1 species
GACGAACGCUGGCGGCGUGCUUAACACAUGCAAGUCGAACGGAAAGACCCUGCUUUUGUGGGGUGCUCGAGUGGCGAACGGGUGUGUAACACGUGAGUAACCUGCCCUUGACUUUGGGAUAACUUCAGGAAACUGGGGCUAAUACCGGAUAGGAGCUCCUGCUGCAUGGUGGGGGUUGGAAAGUUUCGGCGGUUGGGGAUGGACUCGCGGCUUAUCAGCUUGUUGGUGGGGUAGUGGCUUACCAAGGCUUUGACGGGUAGCCGGCCUGAGAGGGUGACCGGCCACAUUGGGACUGAGAUACGGCCCAGACUCCUACGGGAGGCAGCAGGGGGGAAUAUUGCACAAUGGGCGGAAGCCUGAUGCAGCAACGCCGCGUGCGGGAUGACGGCCUUCGGGUUGUAAACCGCUUUCGCCUGUGACGAAGCGUGAGUGACGGUAAUGGGUAAAGAAGCACCGGCUAACUACGUG